GGUUCCAUAAAGUAGAGGUUAGCAUGUCUGCUUUACACGCAGAAGGUCCUAGGUCAGAGCCCCAGUGGAGCCA
rnacentral:tRNA from 1 species